AUUGAACGCUGGCGGCAGGCCUAACACAUGCAAGUCGAGCGGAUGAGAAGAGCUUGCUCUUCGAUUCAGCGGCGGACGGGUGAGUAAUGCCUAGGACUCUGCCUGGUAGUGGGGGACAACGUUUCGAAAGGAACGCUAAUACCGCAUACGUCCUACGGGAGAAAGCAGGGGACCUUCGGGCCUUGCGCUAUCAGAUGAGCCUAGGUCGGAUUAGCUAGUUGGUGAGGUAAUGGCUCACCAAGGCGACGAUCCGUAACUGGUCUGAGAGGAUGAUCGGUCACACUGGAACUGAGACACGGUCCAGACUCCUACGGGAGGCAGCAGUGGGGAAUAUUGGACAAUGGGCGAAAGCCUGAUCCAGCCAUGCCGCGUGUGUGAAGAAGGUCUUCGGAUUGUAAAGCACUUUAAGUUGGGAGGAAGGGCAGUAAGUUAAUACCUUGCUGUUUUGACGUAACCGACAGAAUAAGCACCGGCUAACUCUGUGCCAGCCGCCGCCGUAAAAC
rnacentral:rRNA from 1 species